rnacentral:rRNA from 1 species
AUGGCCGAGUCCUUGCUUCUGCCUCUAGUACGCGGCGUCGCUGGCAAGGCUGUAGACGCACUGGUCGAGACCGUAACCCGCAUGUGUGGCCUCGACGACGACCGCCGAAUGCUGGAGCGCCAUACGCUAGCCGCUGAGUGCAAGCUGGCGAACGCCGAGGAGAGGAGUGAGACAAACGAGUAUGUCAAGAGAUGGAUGAAGGAGCUCAAGUUUGUCACUUACAAGGCCGACGACGUGCUUGACGACUUCUGGUAUGAGGCGCUGCACCGCCAAUAUAAGAUUGGCAAGUCCACUACCCGCAAGGUACUCGGAUACAUCACGCGCCACAGCCUGUUGCUCUUUCAUUUUGAAAUGAGCAGGAAACUCAAGAAUGUCCUCGAGAAGAUUAAUAAGUUGGUUGAGGAGAUGAACAAGUUUGGAUUGGAGAACUCUGUCCAUAGGGAGAAGUAG